UACAGAGGGUGCGAGCGUUAAUCGGAAUUACUGGGCGUAAAGCGCGCGUAGGCGGCUUUGCAAGUCGGGUGUGAAAUCCCCAGGCUUAACCUGGGAACUGCAUUCGAGACUGCAUUGCUAGAGUAUGGGAGAGGGAAGUGGAAUUUCCGGUGUAGCGGUGAAAUGCGUAGAUAUCGGAAGGAACAUCAGUGGCGAAAGCGACUUCCUGGACCAAUACUGACGCUCAUGUGCGAAAGCGUGGGGAGCAAACAGGAUUAGAU
rnacentral:rRNA from 1 species